rnacentral:rRNA from 1 species
UGGGGAAUCUUGGACAAUGGGGGCAACCCUGAUCCAGCCAUGCCGCGUGAGUGAUGAAGGCCUUAGGGUCGUAAAGCUCUUUCGCCUGUGAAGAUAAUGACGGUAGCAGGUAAAGAAACCCCGGCUAACUCCGUGCCAGCAGCCGCGGUAAUACGGAGGGGGUUAGCGUUGUUCGGAAUUACUGGGCGUAAAGCGCACGUAGGCGGACCAGAAAGUUGGGGGUGAAAUCCCGGGGGCUCAACCCCGGAACUGCCUCCAAAACUAUUGGUCUAGAGUUCGAGAGAGGUGAGUGGAAUUCCAAGUGUAGAGGUGAAAUUCGUAGAUAUUUGGAGGAACACCAGUGGCGAAGGCGGCUCACUGGCUCGAUACUGACGCUGAGGUGCGAAAGUGUGGGGAGCAAACAGGAUUAGAUACCCUGGUAGUCCACACCGUAAAACGAUGAAUGCCAGUCGUCGGGGUAGCAUGCUAUUCGGUGACACACCUAACGGAUUAAGCAUUCCGGCCUGGGG